rnacentral:rRNA from 1 species
UACGGAGGGUGCGAGCGUUAAUCGGAAUUACUGGGCGUAAAGCGCACGCAGGCGGUUUGUUAAGCUAGAUGUGAAAGCCCCGGGCUCAACUUGGGAUGGUCAUUUAGAACUGGCAGACUAGAGUCUUGGAGAGGGGAGUGGAAUUCCAGGUGUAGCGGUGAAAUGCGUAGAUAUCUGGAGGAACAUCAGUGGCGAAGGCGACUCCCUGGCCAAAGACUGACGCUCAUGUGCGAAAGUGUGGG